rnacentral:lncRNA from 1 species
GAAUUUGUUUUGGGGAGAAAAAUGAACUAAAUAAGUAAAUUUCUUGAGUUAUAAUAGAUGACACAGAAAUAUCAGUAAGGAAUAAGGAUUUGUGACUUUUUGAUUGUUGGAAAUUAGCUAUUGUCCUAAGGAGCUGCAUCCACAACCCGUUGUUGAUUAUUUCAGUUAUAAUUCUCUUUAGGAUGUAGUUAGGUGUUAAGAUCUUGAAUUAUAAGUCUAUGGAUGUCUAUUUUGUUGUUUUCUGAUUAACAAGUCUAUGGCUAUCUAUAAGUCUCUUUAAUUAGGAUUCAGCAGGGAAUAAGGAUUAAUAUUGUCACUAUUUUGCUGUACUCAUUUCAAAUACAUUUUUUGAAAAGUCCAAGGAAUAAACUAUCUAGAAAGUAUGAUAACAGAUUCACUUGCUUCCGAAACUCAAGUACAACUGUAGACACCACACUGGGUAAUAUGAAGCAAAAUCUAACUAUAGAAUCAGAAAACUAUAAUGUAAAUGCCUUGGUCCUUGGUCAAAAAAUUACCCAGCUUAAAGACCAAGAGUCAUCUCACUUUAAGAAGGAAUAAGUUAUUCUAAUGAAGCAUGUGUUCAUACUGCUUUACAAGAUAUAUUAGUUAAAAGCACAACUAAAAGACCUAUUUCUAAAUCUUGUGAAAUAAGUACAAAAAAAGGAGGAAAAAAGAAAAACAUAUCCAAUGUCUGUUAUUUCCUAGACAUGUAAAGCAAUAAUUUUGAAAUACAUAUACC